rnacentral:lncRNA from 1 species
GCGGCCGACUUGGUCUUGUCACCCGCCUGGUUCGCGGUGGCCGCGGUCUGGUCCUUGGCGGCAUAGGCCUUGUCCGCCACCGUGUCCUUGGCGGCAUAUGCCUUGUCCGCCACCGUGUCCUUGGUGGCAUAUGCCUUGUCCGCGGCGGUAUCCUUGGUGGCACGAGCCUUGUCCGCUGCCGUCUGGCCGGUUCCCUUGGAUUGAUCCAUGGCGGCGUGAGUUUUCUCGCUGGCGGCCUGCCCCAAGCCGUGAGUGGUAUCGCUUGCCUUCUGGCCAGCGCCCUGGGAGAGAUUCCAAAAGAAGAAAUGAUAAGAUCAAUCGAGAGAACUGUAGAAUUUUUCAAAGCACACACAAGACCAAGGUGGCAAAGUGCUGGAGAUGGAAAACAUGGAUCAAACAGGAGUAGAGUAGAACCGAAAGAAAGAAGUAAAAACGAAAUCCCAAGAAAGAUCAGGGACGGACAAGAAACAUCGCGAAGAACAUGAUCUACAAGCUAGAGAUCUUGCAAAGAUGGCAGAUUUCUGGGAUCCAGGAAAGAAAUCCACACAAACCUUGGUGUGCUGAGCGGCCUUAUCGGCGCUCUCGUGGCCGGCCUCCUUCACCUUGUUUGCCUGAUCCGCCAUAGCUAUAGCUUUGCUUGCGUGAGCGAGGGCGAAGAUUAAACUCCUUUUUCCUUUCCUAGAGAGAGAACGAUAGAACUUUUGGGCAAACGAUGUGCUUGCGAAACGUUCGUCGGCCUCUUUUCAAGAACUGCCGCGAGGUGUCACGUGUUGGCAAGGCAGCGACUAGCGCCAUGCACGGCUACACGUGUCCACGUAGCCGGACGCGUGGAGGCUUGUGGCAGCUGCUACGUGUCGGGAUUGCGAGGUUGACACGUGGAUUGAACUGUUGGCGCUUUGAUUGAAAUUGACUUUUGCUGACCAAUGGAAAGCAAGAGGAAAUUUCUUUUUAUAUUAUUGCUCUUGUUUUAUACAGUGGAAAUGUUUUCAUCAUCGAAAGGAAGCUUACAAAGAAAUUUUUCUAGCGAAAGAAGUUCGAUAGAAGGAAAGAAUUUAGAAUGCGAUGAUGAGAAGAAACGACCAAGUAAAAGAAGUACUGUAGAUCGAUCCAGGCUUGACAAAGAAAGAACGAAGAAGAUCAUCUCGAACUUUGUAUAGCGAUCGAUCAGCGAUAAGGAAAUUCGCGGAGCAAAAGGAUUGCUAGCAAAAACCAAAGAAACGAAGAACAGGGAAGAGAAGCAAAAGAAUGCGAUGAUCGAUAAACAACGAAGAACAGUAGGACAAAGAGAAGAAUGCGAUGAUCGAUAGGCAACGAAGAACAGUAGGACAAAGAAAAGAAUACAAUGAUCGAUAGGAAGGAAGAAGAAUGAAGAGAUUUUAGUGAGUGGAGCGAUCUAGAGUCGUGGAGGAGGAGGAUGCUUUACUGCCACAGUCGGGGCUCUCAUCAAAAUUGGAAGCCGGGUAAGAGGCCGAGAGAAUUCCCACCUGGAACACAACCUUCUCGUUCUCCAUGUAGAUCCCAGUCAGCUCCCACCACACCAAUAACACCUUGACAUAAACUCCCGAGAGAUCUUUAAUCGAUCCAUAGGACAGCAAUCCCUCGAUCUUGGCCCUGUACUCCACCGGAUACGCGCCCGGGAUGGUCACGUCGCAUUUGGCGUCGAGCUUGAGCACGAAUCGGCCGCUGUUGUCGAGCGUGUAGCCCUCGACGUUGCUGGGCAGCAAGCCCCCUGGAAAUCCAUUGCGCUCCAGCAGAUCCUGCGCAGUCAUCGUGUCAUUGCCGCCAGUGCCGAUCGAGAGAUCCAUGGCUUGGCCGUGGAUUAGGGCGAGCAGCACCAGCGCCAGCGAGAAGAAAUCGAUCGCCAUCGUCGUCUUCUUCCUCUUUAACGAAGAACCCUAAAAUUACUUUUACCCCUAAGCUGGAAUUCGAACCUGUGACCUGUCCUCGUUGGGAUGAAUGGAUAAAUGGCGGGCAUUCUCUUGCCUCACUGUGGAGCGCUUCUAGGGCGAAAUAUUUCGUGGCGAUUGGAGGAAGCGCGACGGCGCCAGAGAGGAGAUGGAAGCCGCUGUUGGCGCCGUCGGCGAUUUGGAUGCUGUUGCGUGUUCCAUGUGAGUUUGCUUUGAUGGAUUGCUGGAUCCAAUGCGCUCUCCUUUCGUGUCUGAUUCCUCUUUCGUUGCUACCGUGUGUCGAUUCCUGUCUUGAAUGCCAGAUCNNNNNNNNNNNNNNNNNNNNNNNNNNNNNNNNNNNNNNNNNNNNNNNNNNNNNNNNNNNNNNNNNNNNNNNNNNNNNNNNNNNNNNNNNNNNNNNNNNNNUGGCUGUUGAGCACAGCCAAAACAAUUGCCUGCUCUCGUCCAACAUUCACCACGUAGUGAAGCACGCCUCGCGGGAUCACGAACAGAUCACUGGCACGCAUCUUGUGGGCAAAAAGCUUGUUGUUCGUGUCCACGAAGCCAGCCUCCACAACACCCUUCUCGACGUAAACAAGCUCGCUCGCCCGGGGAUGAGUAUGAGUCCUGGCAACACCCUUGGGCCCGAGAUAGAUCCGCGCCAUGGACAGUCCCAUGGUGUUGAGAGCCGGGAAAGUGGUGACGAUGGCUUGCGAGAAGUUGAAGAGAGGGUUGAGGGUGUUUGUAGUAUCGGUGUUGGUGCGGAGGAGGCUCGAGUAGAAGUCUUUGGAGGUGACUUGGGAGUAUGGCUUGCAGGGAGAGCCUUCGAUCAAGGUGUUGCUGGGGAUGCAAAAGUCCUGGAGUGGAUCGGGGUCGGCAGCUUCCACAAGAGAGAAGAUGCGAGCUGAGGAGAGAAAUGUGAGAGCUACAAGGAAUGUAUUCAAAGCCAUUGGAGAUCUGAAACUCUCGAUCACUCUCUUGUGUUAUAAGUUAUCUGAAAGGUUUGGGUUUUUAUGCUUUGCCGUGAGGAGAAAUUUCUUCAGUCUCCUGGUUUCUGAAAAAGCGGGACACGUUCUCAGGUGCACAUGGAUGACUUUGAAUGUUUGCUCUAGGGAAUUAAAAUUAUUUAUAUCACGAUGAAUGCGUAUAAUGCAUAGAUAACCAUUGGAAAUAACCGCAAGGCGAGCAUCCGGCAAUCUUUCCAAACCUAAAAACUGGAAGAUUCAUGGCACGUUCGAUAAUGGUUAAACAACCCUAAACGCAGCUGGAAUAAACCUCAUGCCGGAAUCUUUUCGAAUCUGUUGAUUCCAGAGAGGCGAUCUUUUUUUUCGCCAAGAAUCUCUUCAAUCGCGGACUUACUGUGAGGUCUUCGAUCGAAUGCCGCAGCGCGACGCCUCUCUUCUCUAACUGAGAAUCUAAGAACUUCUGUAGCAGUAUUUUUCGAAAAUCGAAAAUUCGACCUGUUUGGACUGUAGAUCAUUCUAUCGCGUCAAUGGCGAAGACCGAUGUGGCAAUCUCGUUCCAAAGAAACUCGCCACGAACAAUGAAUGAAACGACAAGAUUCCUUGGAUUCCAAUUUUUUCAAAACAGUGACUGGAAGAUCCCCAGCUCACUGGCACUAAAAAGGGAACAAAAAAAUAAAAAUAAAAAAACGCGACGACGACGAUUGUCCAAAUAUCCCGUUUUUCCUUCUCUUUUUUCUUUUUUUCCCGUGUGCUGCUGCUGAAUGAGAGACUACUGAGUGGUGUUGUUACCGCUACCGCUCAGAGGAGCGUUGGUGUUGUUCCCGGGACCGCCCAGACCGAUAGUCUCCUUGGUCUUCUCGUAAGCUUGCUUCGCAGUAUCGGUAGCCUGCCAAACAAUCCACCAACUUUAGAGAUCGAAAAUGAAAGACUAGAGCGAGAAUUGAGAAACCAAACGAGCGAACCUAACAACUCUAGCAAAUAUCUAUUCAAACCAAGCGAACACGACCAAAGAAACGCAACAUCUUGGAAGAGAAUCUUUUUGCUUACCUUCUGGACGAGUCCGGCAGCUUGAUCCUUGGCAGCGUAUGCCGCAUCCGUAGCCGACUGCAUGUAUCCCGACGCCGUAUCCUGCGUCGUAUCCUUGGCCGCGUACGCCUUCUCCGUCACCACGUCCGCGGCCGACUUGGUCUUGUCACCCGCCUGGUUCGCGGUGGCCGCGGUCUGGUCCUUGGCGGCAUAGGCCUUGUCCGCCACCGUGUCCUUGGCGGCAUAUGCCUUGUCCGCCACCGUGUCCUUGGUGGCAUAUGCCUUGUCCGCGGCGGUAUCCUUGGUGGCACGAGCCUUGUCCGCUGCCGUCUGGCCGGUUCCCUUGGAUUGAUCCAUGGCGGCGUGAGUUUUCUCGCUGGCGGCCUGCCCCAAGCCGUGAGUGGUAUCGCUUGCCUUCUGGCCAGCGCCCUGGGAGAGAUUCCAAAAGAAGAAAUGAUAAGAUCAAUCGAGAGAACUGUAGAAUUUUUCAAAGCACACACAAGACCAAGGUGGCAAAGUGCUGGAGAUGGAAAACAUGGAUCAAACAGGAGUAGAGUAGAACCGAAAGAAAGAAGUAAAAACGAAAUCCCAAGAAAGAUCAGGGACGGACAAGAAACAUCGCGAAGAACAUGAUCUACAAGCUAGAGAUCUUGCAAAGAUGGCAGAUUUCUGGGAUCCAGGAAAGAAAUCCACACAAACCUUG